ensembl:misc_RNA Metazoa_SRP Metazoan signal recognition particle RNA
GCCGGGUGCGGUGGCUCAUGCCUGUGAUCCCAGCACUUUAGGAGGCUGAGGUGGGUGGCUCACCUGAGGUCAGGAGUUUGAGACCAGCCUGACCAACAUGGUGAGACCCCAUCUCUA